AGUGGAAUAGCUGGGUCAAAUGGCCGUUCUGUUCAAGUUUUCUAAGGAAUCUCUAUACUGCUUUCUAGAUUGGUUGCACCAUUUUGCAGUCCCACCAUCAU
rnacentral:pre_miRNA from 1 species